CUAAUUCAACUAACGUCUGACAGCCCCUUGCCACACUUCCUGGUCUCUUCCGGGGGCUGAACCAGCCAAAGGAAAAGGACGUGGGCUUAAGGUGUGACGGGAGCAGGAUCCCAAGGAAACUGAACACUGCAACAAUCACAUUUCAGGCACAACUUUUGUCAUGCCGAUGAUUCACGGAGGCAGAAGCCAUCGGUUAAAUAUGCCUCUGGGAUAACGACAGAAGCAAAUACUCUCCCAUUUACUGAAUAUUCAUAACGUACGCCAGAUGGUGGACUUCAGCUUUACCGGGAGCUCGGGGUCGGGUUCCACAUCCCACCUCCACCGAGGGAACAGUGCCGUGGCGGGGGAGUGCCCCACAACCCCUGCCUCUGGGAACCAGCCCUUAUAGGAGCACACGGGCUGGAGUGAGGGCACAGUGGCAGCCUUUGGGGCCACUCAAGUCCUCCAUGGAACUGAGACUUUAUCAAGGGGAGUUACGUCCCCUUCCCAGUGCUCAUAUCCAAUCAUUAAAAUAGACUUUAAAAAAAUAUAAAAUCUGCCUGAGAAUGGUGGGAAUCAGGGACAGUACAGUGGUCAGCCCCUACCCUGCCGAGCAUUCACUACCGCCCAUGUGCACCCAGAUGGGGAGAAGGACGUGAAUGGGGCAGGGAAUCUCGGUGGGGAAGUCCCGACAGAGUGGAGAACAUUUUCAUCGCGCCAAUUUUUCAAGAUGGCGAUCUGGACUAGAUCGGCCAUAAGGGCACUCCUUUUAAACGUGGAUUACUAUAUAGUUUAAUCACAUCUCUCCCCCGUUCUUUAUUCCUUGCUGUUCCUACUGGUCGGUUAGGGAAGGAGUGGACUUAAACUAUAGAUGCUGGUGUGUCUUCUCCUCUGAGUCAAUAACGUAAGCAAAACAAUGCAUUGGUUCCCACCUUUUCUGGUAGCAGUACAGAUAAAACAAUUAGCGUGACUUCUGGAAGAGGCUAUAUAGGAAGAGGUUAUGUCAGGGCACGAGAGUAGAGGUAUUUUAAUCAACGAACCAAGUAGGAGAAGGCUGGAAGGAUUUUCGGGUUGAGAAGCAAACCAUCCUUUGAGGCUGAUUAAAACACCCCUCUGCAUGAUUUAAAAACCUGAAGGAAAUUUUAUUUCUCUUCCCACUGGGGCCUGACCCACUCUCUUGGUGGGACCUGGAGAACUUACUUCAACAAUCCACGUUUAAAAGCACCCUGAGCUAGAAUUUCCAUGGUGACACCCUGAGGGGCGGGCAGUGUCGGGCCAAUUGGUUGGGCGUGUGGGGCCGAGGGAUCAGGGUUCCUCACUGGAACGUCUUUCCUCAAGCCAAGCGGGCAAACCUGGUCUACAUCCCGGCCCAAGGGUCCCUGAUUCCCACUCAUUCUCAGGCCUGCUGGGGAGAACGCGCUCUCGACUUCAGCCCGUUGUCCUUGAGUCGCCGCGAAGGGAAGGGGCUGGUCACUUCCUCCGUGCCUGGGCCUGGUUACUCUGUCCCUUUUGGUGCAGCUGUUUCACUUGGGCCAGGAUGUCUCGUAUCUUCCGCUGGGCCAUCUGUAGGAAAAAACAGACGAGCGGCAGGAGUGAGGGCCUCCGGUUAACAAAGUUGCCACACGUACCGCGGAACCCCGAAUCAACCUCCUGGAGUCGCCAGGAGUGUGUGCUCCCUCGGAGGGUCAUGAACUUCGGAGACCUCCUCCCCACUGACCACAGCCCCACCACACCCGUCGACGUUCCCAGGAGAGAGAACGAAACGUCCAGAGACGGAUUUAGAAACCAGCAGUGACACCGAAGCCCCACCGUACAAAAUGGAUCGGUGUCUCUCCCCUCCCCUUCUCAAAGGCGCCUUCCCCAAGAACACGUUUCCACGAGGGAAAUCAACAGCACAAUGCGACACCCGGAACCGGUGGCCAGAAUCGCGUCCUCCCACCCACGGCGUGCUUGGUUUCUUGGUUAAACAGAAAGGUGGUCUAGGUUGAGGCAAGACGGUGGACUCCCUUUUUUUAGAUCACUUCCUACUCGGUCAGCCCCGAGCGGAUGGCUUCCGUAGCUCUUCUCUCUACUCCUCAUCCUAACAGAUGAAAACCAUCCCCGCUUCGGUACUGAAAACCUCCUGGCCCUGUGCAUCCUUGCGUAUGUCCUUUACCCUCUUAAGCUCACACCCCCAUCCGUAAAAUGAGGCUAUCGUGGGGAUUACACGAGUUAAUAUAGGUAAACCACACAGAAUGGUGCUUGGUGCAGCAGACUCCGCCACAGACGCUACCGUUAAUACUUCUCAAAAGACGGUCCCAGAAAAGUUAGCCAAAGCCAUACGGCGCACAAGACCACGCAAGGGGGGUUUGAGUUCCAAGGCCUCUGCCUCCAGAACCCACGUUUCUGCUGCUGCACAGCCACACCACACUGGGAACCAAGA